rnacentral:snoRNA from 1 species
UUAUAUGUGAUGAGGAAGCUAAUAUAUAAGGAGAGUUUCUUUGUUAAGUUGUUCAAUGAAAUAUACUUGUUUCUCUUAGCUUCUGAGCUAA